rfam:Triticum urartu cultivar G1812 contig1158199, whole genome shotgun sequence.
CUCAUACUCUCUCCGUCCGGAAAUACUUAUUAUCAAAAUGGAUAAAUAAGGAUGUAUCUAGAUGUAUUUUAGUUCUAGAUACAUCUCUUUUUAUUCAUUUUGAUGACAAGUAUUUUCGGACGGAGGGACUAAGCA